rnacentral:rRNA from 1 species
AUUGAACGCUGGCGGCAGGCCUAACACAUGCAAGUCGAGCGAGCGGCGGACGGGUGAGUAAUGUCUGGGAAACUGCCUGAUGGAGGGGGAUAACUACUGGAAACGGUUGCUAAUACCGCAUACCAUCAGAUGUGCCCAGAUGGGAUUAGCUAGUAGGUGGGGUAACGGCUCACCUAGGCGACGAUCCCUAGCUGGUCUGGGAGAAUGACCAGCCACGCUGGAGCUGAGGCACGGUCCAGACACCUACGGGAGGCAGCAGUGGGGAAUAUUGCACGAUGGGCGCAAGCCUGAUGCAGCCAUGCCGCGUGUGUGAAGAAGGCAUUCGGGUUGUAAAGCACUUUCAGCGGGGAGGCGUUACCCGCAGAAGAAGCACCGGCUAACUCCGUGCCAGCAGCCGCGGUAAUAC